UACGUAGGGUGCAAGCGUUGUCCGGAAUUAUUGGGCGUAAAGAGCUCGUAGGCGGUCUGUCGCGUCGGCUGUGAAAACCCGGAGCUCAACUCCGGGCCUGCAGUCGAUACGGGCAAACUGGAGUGUUGCAGGGGAGACUGGGAUUCCUGGUGUAGCGGUGAAAUGCGCAGAUAUCAGGAGGAACACCGGUGGCGAAGGCGGGUCUCUGGGCAACAACUGACGCUGAGGAGCGAAAGCGUGGGGAGCGAACCGG
rnacentral:rRNA from 1 species